rnacentral:rRNA from 1 species
UUUUUGAAGGGUUUGAUCCUGGCUCAGAGCGAACGGUGGCGGCGUGGAUUAGGCAUGCAAGUCGAACGCGAAAGGCUGGGCAACUGGCUGAGUAGAGUGGCGGACGGGUGAGUAAUGUAUGGAUAACCUACCCUCGAGACGGGGAUAACCACUGGAAACGGUGGCUAAUACCCGAUGGUCCCUCGGACCGAGAGGUCUGAACGGUAAAGGGAGCAAUCCCACUUGAGGAGGGGUCCAUAUCCUAUCAGCUAGUUGGUGAGGUGAUGGCUCACCAAGGCAACGACGGGUAGCCGAACUGAGAGGUCGAUCGGCCACAUCGGAACUGAGAACUGUCCGGACUCCUACGGGAGGCUGCAGUCGAGAAUCUUCUGCAAUGGGCGCAAGCCUGACAGAGCGACGCCGCGUGCGGGAUGAAGGCCCUCGGGUUGUAAACCGCUGUCACUCGUUAAGAAAGCCUGGGGUAGGCCUCCAGGCUGACGUUAGCGAGAGAGGAAGUCACGGCUAACUUCGUGCCAGCAGCCGCGGUAAGACGAAGGUGACAACCGUUGCUCGGAAUCACUGGGCAUAAAGCGCGCGUAGGUGGCUGUGUAAGUCCAUGGUGAAAUCCCUCGGCUCAACCGAGGAACAGCCGUGGAUACUGCAUAGCUUGAGAACGGGAGGGGUGAGUGGAACUCUGGGUGUAGCGGUGAAAUGCGUAGAUAUCCAGAGGAACGCCGGUGGCGAAAGCGACUCACUGGACCGUUACUGACACUGAGGCGCGAGAGCUAGGGGAGCAAACAGGAUUAGAUACCCUGGUAGUCCUAGCUGUAAACGAUGGGUACUGGGUAGGGGCCGUCCAAUGCGGUCUCUGCCGAAGCCAAUGUGUUAAGUACCCCGCCUGGGGAGUAUGGUCGCAAGGCUAAAACUCAAAGGAAUUGACGGGGGCUCACACAAGCGGUGGAGCAUGUGGUUUAAUUCGAAGCAACGCGAAGAACCUUACCCGGGUUUGAAAUGUACGGAUUAGGAUGCUGAAAGGUGUCUGACGCCGCAAGGUGGAACGUACACAGGUGUUGCAUGGCUGUCGUCAGCUCGUGUCGUGAGAUGUCGGGUUAAGUCCCUUAACGAGCGAAACCCUUAUCCUUAGUUGCCAGCGGGUAAAGCCGGGGACUCUAGGGAGACUGCCGUUGUUAAAACGGAGGAAGGUGGGGAUGACGUCAAGUCAUCAUGGCCUUUAUGUCCGGGGCUACACACGUGCCACAAUGGCCGGUACAAAGGGACGCUAAGCCGAGAGGUAGAGCAAAUCCCAGAAAGCCGGUCCCAGUUCGGAUUGGGGGCUGCAAUUCGCCCCCAUGAAGUCGGAAUCGCUAGUAAUCGCGGAUCAGCUACGCCGCGGUGAAUAUGUUCCUGAGCCUUGUACACACCGCCCGUCAAGCCACGGAAGUUGACAGUACCCGAAGUCGUGAACCCAACCGCAAGGAGGGAAGCGCCCACGGUAAGGUCGAUGACUGGGACUAAGUCGUAACAAGGUAGCCGUAGGGGAACCUGUGGCUGGAUCACCUCCUUU